rnacentral:ncRNA from 1 species
GAUAACUGAUAAGACACCUAGCGCGGAGAGGACAAGCAGAUCGUAAAGACGCCGUAAAAUCAUCCCUGAUGGCUCGAGCCGCGCCAUCCUUGGCGCGGACGCUUU